AUAUAUAUAUUGCCUUCUUCUUCCUCAUGUAUAAUUAAUAUUUCUUAUAAGAAUCACUAAUUUGGUCAUACAGAUGAGACAAUACAACCGAUUUGAUCACCCUGUAGGACGUGGGGGAGCCGUUUCGUUUGAAUGAAGGCUUUUGAUUUCUCUUUUGAAAAUUUGAAAGGGGUGGCGUGGUGGUGGAGUCAGUCCCCCCCCAUAAGAGAAGGCAAACGAAGAGAGGACUGGUCUUGACGAGACAAUAAUAUUCCCCCAGGUCUAAUUAAGUGGGUGAAAAAGGAAAGGGCGUC
rnacentral:lncRNA from 1 species